GCUUAAAGCGCGGCCCCAGACAGCUGGAAAGACAUGUUGGGGCCGCCCUUGGCGGGCUGUGGAGCGAGUCGGGGCUCAGAGGGAAUCAGAUCUCUUCCUGCUCGACAGCCGCACCCUCUGGGCCUCGGAGGAGGGCUGGCUGGUGUUUGACAUCACAGCCACCAGCAACCACUGGGUGGUCAAUCCGCGGCACAACCUGGGCCUGCAGCUCUCGGUGGAGACGCUGGAUGG
rnacentral:sRNA from 1 species